CCGGGAGGAAGGGGCGGGCCGGGGGUCGGGAGGAGUCACGUGCCCCCUCCCGCCCCAGGUCGUCCUCUCAGCAUGGGGGUCCCGCGGCCUCAGCCCUGGGCGCUGGGGCUCCUGCUCUUUCUCCUUCCUGGGAGCCUGGGCGCAGAAAGCCACCUCUCCCUCCUGUACCACCUUACCGCGGUGUCCUCGCCUGCCCCGGGGACUCCUGCCUUCUGGGUGUCCGGCUGGCUGGGCCCGCAGCAGUACCUGAGCUACAAUAGCCUGCGGGGCGAGGCGGAGCCCUGUGGAGCUUGGGUCUGGGAAAACCAGGUGUCCUGGUAUUGGGAGAAAGAGACCACAGAUCUGAGGAUCAAGGAGAAGCUCUUUCUGGAAGCUUUCAAAGCUUUGGGGGGAAAAGCCCCCCUCCAUGCGCCUGAAGGCCCGACCCAGCAGCCCUGGCUUUUCCGUGCUUACCUGCAGCGCCUUCUCCUUCUACCCUCCGGAGCUGCAACUUCGGUUCCUGCGGAAUGGGCUGGCCGCUGGCACCGGCCAGGGUGACUUCGGCCCCAACAGUGACGGAUCCUUCCACGCCUCGUCGUCACUAACAGUCAAAAGUGGCGAUGAGCACCACUACUGCUGCAUUGUGCAGCACGCGGGGCUGGCGCAGCCCCUCAGGGUGGAGCUGGAAUCUCCAGCCAAGUCCUCCGUGCUCGUGGUGGGAAUCGUCAUCGGUGUCUUGCUACUCACGGCAGCGGCUGUAGGAGGAGCUCUGUUGUGGAGAAGGAUGAGGAGUGGGCUGCCAGCCCCUUGGAUCUCCCUUCGUGGAGACGACACCGGGGUCCUCCUGCCCACCCCAGGGGAGGCCCAGGAUGCUGAUUUGAAGGAUGUAAAUGUGAUUCCAGCCACCGCCUGACCAUCCGCCAUUCCGACUGCUAAAAGCGAAUGUAGUCAGGCCCCUUUCAUGCUGUGAGACCUCCUGGAACACUGGCAUCUCUGAGCCUCCAGAAGGGGUUCUGGGCCUAGUUGUCCUCCCUCUGGAGCCCCGUCCUGUGGUCUGCCUCAGUUUCCCCUCCUAAUACAUAUGGCUGUUUUCCACCUCGAUAAUAUAACACGAGUUUGGGCCC
rnacentral:lncRNA from 1 species